UACGGAGGGUGCGAGCGUUGUCCGGAAUCACUGGGCGUAAAGGGCGCGUAGGCGGCCUGAUAAGUAGGGGGUGAAAUCCUGCGGCUUAACCGCAGGGCUGCCUUCUAAACUGUCGGGCUAGAGCACGGUAGAGGCAGAUGGAAUUCCCGGUGUAGCGGUGGAAUGCGUAGAGAUCGGGAAGAACAUCGGUGGCGAAAGCGCUCUACUGGACCGCAACUGACACUCAGGGACGAAAGCUAGGGGAGCGAAUGGG
rnacentral:rRNA from 1 species